rnacentral:rRNA from 1 species
AUUGAACGCUGGCGGCAGGCCUAACACAUGCAAGUCGAGCGAGCGGCGGACGGGUGAGUAAUGUAUGGGGACUGCCCGAUAGAGGGGGAUAAAUACUGGAAACGGUGGCUAAUACCGCAUACUAUCGGAUAACCCAUAUGGGAUUAGCGAGUAGGUUGGGUAAAGGCUCACCUAGGCGACGAUCUCUAGCUGGUCUGCUAGGAUGAUCACAAACACUGGGAGUUAGACACGGCCCAGACUCCUACGGAGGCAGCAGUGGGGAAUAUUGCACAAUGGGCGCAAGCCUGAUGCAGCCAGGCCGCGUGUAUGAAGAAGGCUUUAGGGUUGUAAAGUACUUUCAGCGGGGAGGCGUUACCCGCAGAAGAAGCACCGGCUAACUCCGUGCCAGCAGCCGCGGUAAUUC